rnacentral:rRNA from 1 species
UGUGCCAGCCGCCGCGGUAAUACAGAGGGUGCGAGCGUUAAUCGGAUUUACUGGGCGUAAAGCGUGCGUAGGCGGCUUUUUAAGUCGGAUGAGAAAUCCCCGAGCUUAACUUGGGAAUUGCAUUCGAUACUGGGAAGCUAGAGUAUGGGAGAGGAUGGUAGAAUUCCAGGUGUAGCGGUGAAAUGCGUAGAGAUCUGGAGGAAUACCGAUGGCGAAGGCAGCCAUCUGGCCUAAUACUGGCGCUGAGGUACGAAAGCAUGGGGAGCAAACAGGAUUAGAUACCCUGGUAGUCCAUGCCGUAAACGAUGUCUACUAGCCGUUGGGGCCUUUGAGGCUUUAGUGGCGCAGCUAACGCGAUAAGUAGACCGCCUGGGGAGUACGGUCGCAAGACUAAAACUCAAAUGAAUUGACGGGGGCCCGCACAAGCGGUGGAGCAUGUGGUUUAAUUCGAUGCAACGCGAAGAACCUUACCUGGCCUUGACAUACUAGAAACUUUCCAGAGAUGGAUUGGUGCCUUCGGGAAUCUAGAUACAGGUGCUGCAUGGCUGUCGUCAGCUCGUGUCGUGAGAUGUUGGGUUAAGUCCCGCAACGAGCGCAACCCUUUUCCUUACUUGCCAGCAUUUCGGAUGGGAACUUUAAAGAUACUGCCAGUGACAAACUGGAGGAAGGCGGGGACGACGUCAAGUCAUCAUGGCCCUUACGGCCAGGGCUACACACGUGCUACAAUGGUCGGUACAAAGGGUUGCUACACAGCGAUGUGAUGCUAUCUCAAAAAGCCGAUCGUAGUCCGGGAUUGGAGUCUGCAACUCGACUCCAUGAGUCGGAAUCGCUAGUAAUC